rnacentral:sRNA from 1 species
AAGCGCUGCUAUUUUUGGCAAUAACACACACGUAUCGUCACGUCCGGCGGGGUGCCACAUCCCCGUGAUUUGGUCGCCGGUUGGGGUACGUGGAGGCUCAACC